UAGACAGAUUAUUGUAUUCGACUGUAUUCACAACGUGAAAUAGGGGAUUACACUAUUUUUAAAAGGAAAAUGAAUCAAUUAACAAAAUAGACUCCU
rnacentral:pre_miRNA from 1 species